rnacentral:rRNA from 1 species
GACGAACGCUGGCGGCGUGCCUAAUACAUGCAAGUAGAACGCUGAAGGAGGAGCUUGCUCUUCUGGAUGAGUUGCGAACGGGUGAGUAACGCGUAGGUAACCUGCCUGGUAGCGGGGGAUAACUAUUGGAAACGAUAGCUAAUACCGCAUAAGAGUAGAUGUUGCAUGACAUUUACUUAAAAGGUGCAAUUGCAUCACUACCAGAUGGACCUGCGUUGUAUUAGCUAGUUGGUGGGGUAACGGCUUACCAAGGCGACGAUACAUAGCCGACCUGAGAGGGUGAUCGGCCACACUGGGACUGAGACACGGCCCAGACUCCUACGGGAGGCAGCAGUAGGGAAUCUUCGGCAAUGGACGGAAGUCUGACCGAGCAACGCCGCGUGAGUGAAGAAGGGUUUCGGAUCGUAAAGCUCUGUUGUAAGAGAAGAACGAGUGUGAGAGUGGAAAGUUCACACUGUGACGGUAUCUGACCAGAAAGGGACGGCUAACUACGUG